rnacentral:rRNA from 1 species
UACAGAGGUCCCGAGCGUUGUUCGGAUUCAUUGGGCGUAAAGGGUGCGUAGGUGGCGCUGUAAGUGGGGUGUGAAAUCCCGGGGCUUAACUCCGGAACUGCAUUCCAUACUGCGGUGCUUGAGGACUGGAGAGGAGACUGGAAUUUACGGUGUAGCAGUGAAAUGCGUAGAUAUCGUAAGGAAGACCAGUGGCGAAGGCGGGUCUCUGGACAGUUCCUGACGCUGAGGCACGAAGGCCAGGGGAGCAAACGGG